GCGAGAAUGGCGGAACUGGUAGACGCGCCAGAUUUAGGAUCUGGUGGGGUAACCCGUGGGGGUUCGACUCCCCCUUCUCGCACCA
rnacentral:tRNA from 1 species